GACGAACGCUGGCGGCGUGCUUAACACAUGCAAGUCGAACGGUGAAGCGAGUGCUUGCACUCGUGGAUCAGUGGCGAACGGGUGAGUAACACGUGAGUAACCUGCCCAUCACUCUGGGAUAAGCACUGGAAACGGGGUCUAAUACCGGAUACGACCAACCCCUGCAUGGGGGGGUGGUGGAAGGUUUUAGCGGUGGUGGAUGGACUCGCGGCCUAUCAGCUUGUUGGCGGGGUAAUGGCUAACCAGGGCGACGACGGGUAGCCGGCCUGAGAGGGUGACCGGCCACACUGGGACUGAGACACGGCCCAGACUCCUACGGGAGGCAGCAGUGGGGAAUAUUGCACAAUGGGCGGAAGCCUGAUGCAGCGACGCCGCGUGCGGGAUGACGGCCUUCGGGUUGUAAACCUCUUUCGGCAGGGAAGAAGCGAGAGUGACGGUACCGGGAAAAGAAGCACCGGCUAACUACGUG
rnacentral:rRNA from 1 species